GCAAGAUGGCAGCUGCUUCCAUCAGCAAGUGGAAAGUUGAGUUUGAGUUCUAGACUGUACCAGCUGUGUUCAAGUGCAGAGGACAGGACUAUCGCACACCUGUUCGGAAUUGGCCGUUCAACUGUGAACGCGAUUUUCAAGGACUUGUGCCGUGCCGUCAUCCUUUAGAAGCGAUAAAACCCCCGUGCCGGGGAACAAGUCAAAAGACGACACAACACACAGGCACAGUCAUCCUUCACCUUGAACGGCAAUGGAUCUCCAUGGAGCGUCGUUGGAGUUCUACGCCGUCACUGGCUUCCCUCAUGCUGUCGAUACUCUUGACGGUUGCCACUCCCAUCCACCGAAGCUCCACGCCACAGACUACCAUAACCACAACAAAUGCUAUAUUUAUUUUUCUUUGUUAAUUUCCUCAUCAGCUCUGACUAGAGGUACAGUAUGAUACCUUUAGCGCUGUAGACCAUCAGUACAAAUUCAAGGACACCAACAUCGGAAGUUCUAGAAGAUGAACACGUCUACGGGAUGACUUGGUGCUUUGGUCGACGGCGACCACUUCCGGUCACCUGUAGUCACUAUAGAGGGAAUCGUCAUCCCGCCUCUCACAUUAAACUUGUUGAAGCCGUUUACUAAUGUAUACCGAGUGCAACACCGCAAGCGGCUUCUAAUUAUAAUGCUUAUGGGAGGCUCAAGGCCGGUAUUAGACAUGUGAUGAAGAGGACAGAGUGCAUCCAGCAAACUGCGUGCACAUUGCACAACAUAAGUGGGAAC